GACGAACGCUGGCGGCGUGCUUAACACAUGCAAGUCGAACGGAAAGGCCCUGCUUUUGUGGGGUGCUCGAGUGGCGAACGGGUGAGUAACACGUGAGUAACCUGCCCUUGACUUUGGGAUAACUUCAGGAAACUGUGGCUAAUACCGGAUAGGAGCUCCUGCUGCAUGGUGGGGGUUUGAAAGUUUCGGCGGUUGGGGAUGGACUCGCGGCUUAUCAGCUUGUUGGUGGGGUAGUGGCUUACCAAGGCUUUGACGGGUAGCCGGCCUGAGAGGGUGACCGGCCACAUUGGGACUGAGAUACGGCCCAGACUCCUACGGGAGGCAGCAGUGGGGAAUAUUGCACAAUGGGCGGAAGCCUGAUGCAGCAACGCCGCGUGCGGGAUGACGGCCUUCGGGUUGUAAACCGCUUUCGCCUGUGACGAAGCGUGAGUGACGGUAAUGGGUAAAGAAGCACCGGCUAACUACGUG
rnacentral:rRNA from 1 species